rnacentral:rRNA from 1 species
GACGAACCACACGAACGUUAUUCGGAAUUACUGGGCUUAAAGGGUGCGUAGGCGGCGCAGAAAGUUGGGUGUGAAAUCCCUCGGCUCAACCGAGGAACUGCGCCCAAAACUACUGUGCUUGAGGAAGAUAGAGGUAAGCGGAACUUACGGUGGAGCGGUGAAAUGCGUAGAUAUCGUAAGGAAGACCAGUGGCGAAGGCGGGUCUCUGGACAGUUCCUGACGCUGAGGCACGAAGGUCAGGGGAGCAAACGGG